rnacentral:rRNA from 1 species
UACGGAGGAUGCGAGCGUUAUCCGGAUUUAUUGGGUUUAAAGGGUGCGUAGGCGGUCCGUUAAGUCAGCGGUGAAAUUGCGGGGCUCAACCCCGUCGAGCCGUUGAAACUGGCAGACUUGAGUUGGCGAGAAGUACGCGGAAUGCGCGGUGUAGCGGUGAAAUGCAUAGAUAUCGCGCAGAACUCCGAUUGCGAAGGCAGCGUACCGGCGCCAGACUGACGCUGAGGCACGAAAGCGUGGGGAUCGAACAGG